UGGGGAAUAUUGCACAAUGGGCGCAAGCCUGAUGCAGCCAUGCCGCGUGUGUGAAGAAGGCCUUCGGGUUGUAAAGCACUUUCAGCGAGGAGGAAGGGUAGUGUGUUAAUAGCACAUUGCAUUGACGUUACUCGCAGAAGAAGCACCGGCUAACUCCGUGCCAGCAGCCGCGGUAAUACGGAGGGUGCAAGCGUUAAUCGGAAUUACUGGGCGUAAAGCGCACGCAGGCGGUUUGUUAAGUCAGAUGUGAAAUCCCGCGCUUAACGUGGAAC
rnacentral:rRNA from 1 species